rnacentral:lncRNA from 1 species
UAGAGCCAAAAAAGUAUUAAAUUUACUGGCCAAAUAAUUCCUCAAGAGAUUAAACAAAAGUGUCUUUUAUCCCGAUAAACUAAAAUGUUAUCAUGACCUCAACAAGGUCUUCAUAGUUCAUACAACCCAAAGUUGUUGGGAUAAUCAUCUUUAACCAAAAAAAUUGAAGUAUUAUGUAAUCAUCAUAGCAUUACCUAGCUUGUAAAUAUAGCAUAGUUGCCAAAAUACUAAUACCAUUACCAUUACCAUUACCAUUACCAUCACCAUCACCAGUUUACAUUAUUAUUUAUUAAAGUAGUUCAUCUAGCAAUGAUCUGCUAUUCAAAUUAUCAACCUUGGACUUGAUAGAUAACAUGUUCUUCUCCAAAUCAGACGACUUCACCUCAAGCUCACCGAGAAGCUCUUUGAUCCCUUCGAUUUUUGUUUUAA